rnacentral:lncRNA from 1 species
UGUGAUGUGUAACCCCUCUCAGACAGUGUGGUGGUGAUGUGUACCCCUCUCAGACAGUGUGUGUGAUGUGUAACCCCUCUCAGGCAGUGUGUGUGUAGUGAUGUGUAACCCCUCUCAGGCAGUGGUGUGUGUAUGGUAUGUACCCCUCUCAGUGUGUGUGUGAUGUGUAACCCCUCUCAGACAGUGUUGUGUGAUGUGUAACCCCUCUCAGCAGUGGUGUGUGUGAUGUGUAACCCCCUCAGGCAGUGUGUGUGUGAUGUGUAACCCCUCUCAGGCAGUUGUGUGUUGUGAUGUGUAACCCCUCUCAGGCAGUGUGUGAUGUGUAACCCCUCUCAGACAUGUGUGUGUGAUGUGUAACCCCUCUCAGACAGGGUGUGUGUGAUGUGUAACCCCUCUCAGACAGUGUGUGUGGAUGUGUAACCCCUCUCAGACAGUGUGUGUAUGUUGAUGUGUAACCCUCUCAGACAGUGUGUGUGUGAUGUGUAACCUCUCAGACAGUGUGUGGGUAUUGAUGUUAACCCCCUCAGACAGUGUGUGUGUAUGUUGAUGUGUAAACCCCUCUCAGACAGUGUGUGUGUGAUGUGUAACCCCUCUCAGACAGUGUGUGUGUGAUGUGUACACCUCUGACGUGUGUAUUGUACCCCUCUCAGGCAGUGUGGGUGGGGAUGUGUAACCCCUCUCAGACAGUGUGUGUGUGAUGUGUAACCCCUCUCAGGCAGUGUGUGUGUUGAUGUGUAACCCCUCUCAGGCAGUGUUGUGUUGUUGUGUAACCCCUCUCAGGCGUGUGUGUGUUGAUGUGUAAACCCCUCUCAGACAGUGUGUGAUGUGUUACCCCUCUCGGCAGUGUGUGUGUGAGUGUAACCCCCUCAGCAGUGUGUGUGUUUGUUGUGAACCCCUCCUCAGGCAGUGUGUGUGUGAUGUGUAACCCCCUCAGCAGUGGUGUGAGUGUACCCCUCUCAGGACAGUGUGUGUGUGUGAUGUGUAACCCCUCUCAGACAGUGUGUGUGUGAUGUGUAACCCCUCUCAGACAGUGUGUGUGAUGUGUAACCCCUCUCAGACAGUGUGUGUGUGAUGUGUACCCCUCUCAGGCA